rnacentral:lncRNA from 1 species
UUUUGUGAUUUUUUUUUGUGUUUUUUCAGCCAAGGGAUGCUGUUUUCGACGAUGGGUGGGUUGGUGGUUUCGAUUGAACUCGUCGAUUUCAGUAAAUUUUCAACAGAGAGAGGGUUUAUCAGGCGAAUUUCACCGUGACGGUGACCGACAGCAGCAGUAAUGGUGUUUUACCAGAGAGCAUUAGCCGAAACUGAUCACAAGGGUUGAAUUUUAGUCAGUGGUUCGCUGAUUUUGCAGAUCCGGUGAGGGACAGGCUUGAUCAUCGUUUUUAUGAAUUUUCCGGUGAUGUGGUAGCAGCGGGUCAGUAUAUUUCGAUGAGAUUUUUAUAAAAUAUAAUUUUUACAAUAUAGAUAUGUAUUUUUAUUUGUAUUUGUAUUUGUAUUUAUAUUUAUAUUUGGUACUGAUAAGAUUUGUAUUUGUUACAACGUAAAUAUAUAUUUGCAUUUGGUAUUGUAAGAUUUGUAUUUGUUACAGUAUAGAUAUGUAUUUUUUAUUUGUAAUCUUAUAUUUUAUGGAUAAUAUGUUCAUAUAUGUAUUUUUGUCUUUAUAAUGUGAAGAUAUGUAUCUGUUAAAUUUAAGAUAUGUAUUUAUUUUUUAG